CAAUUUCAAAUUUCUUAUACGUGUGAGAGACUCCAUGCCUGUCUAUGGCGGCUUAGCGACUCCAAACUGAUUAACUUCACAACAUCACUAUGCUGAGCGUAAAAAUCAGAUCGUUUGGAACAAAGCCCUUCCAAAUCCUUUCUUCUACCUCGAAGCUCUUAGAAUUUCAGUCUUUUUCUUCAUCUUCAACAAUUGAAGAUGAUUCAGUGAACCCAGAAUCCAAAACUGAAACUUUAACACCUCAAUUAACACAACAAGAACUCGCCAAAAUCAACCUCUUAAUCCCACGCUUAUGCCUCACAAACAACAUUAACACAGCCAUUAAUCUCACAUUCACAGCUUUACAAGCAAACCCACCUCCCAAGUCUCUCUCUUUUUCCAUCUUAACUCAUUCUCUCACUUCCCAGCCAGACUUGGUCCUCCCCAUGGCACUUUUAACCAAACUCAAACACACCCCUCAAGCACAUUCACAUCUCACAUUGAUCGCCACACUUCUUGUUUCUUCAUAUCUCAGAAGGGGUAGGCCAAAAGAUGCUUUGAAAGUGUACAACUGGAUGCUGAGGCCUGGCUCUCCAUGUAAGGUGGAGAGGGUGGUGUAUCAGGUUUUGGUUGAUGGGUUGUGUAGAAGUGGGUUGGUUGUGGAGGGUUUGAGGGUUUUGAGGGGCAUUUUGGGGAUGAAUUUGGUGGUGAGAAGUGGUUUGAGGAAAAGGGUUUUCAGGAGUUUAUUGAGAGAGGCUAGAAUUAAGGAGGCUAAAGAAUUGGAUGAAGCUUUAUUGUGUGUUGAGAAUGGUGAAAUUGAGGGUUUGGAGAAAGUGUUGGCUCUGUUGGAUCGGAUUAUUGCUAAUUGGACAGAAUAGAACAGGCACCUAUUAGAGAACAAGUCUUACUACAAAACUAGGAAGAACAGUCUCAUCAAACUGAAUUUCACCAAUAUGCGAAGGUAUGUCUGGAUUCUCUGGUCUAGAUCAAGUGACAACUUAUAACUGACUGCACCAUGUGUAUAAUAUGAAUAGCUUUACCAAGCAGUUGCUUCUGGCUUCCGAUGCUGCUAUUACAUGUUUAAAGAUUGUUAAGUGAACUACUGUUGAAGUUUCAAUGAGCUGCAGAGUGUAGCCACUCUAAAUUCUAUAUGGGAUGCUUUAAGAAAGGAGAAGGCAUCAAAAUGUUAACAUUGAUCAUACUAAAAUGAUGCUGAUCCAGUGGUGAAUGUUAUGGCUAUAGAUAUUACUAUGUGUUAGUAAAAGGUCUAAAUCGUGACAAUAUUACUCCCCCCAACUGAAGAAAAUCUUAAAGAGUGAACAAAGUGGAGAAUGUGUGAAAUCAACAGAGAAAGAACAAUAUGUUUAUCUCUUAUUCAAAAUCCCCACUUAGUUGUAUAAUAAUGUAUUAAUUUAUUUAUACACAUUAGUGUUCAUCAUUUGUAUGUACAAAAUUAUUGAAUUUAUAAAAACACGCUUUUCAGGUCA